CAGCGAUAUGAAGACCAGGCUGAAGACUUUGCCGGAUUAGCUGAGAGGUGGUGCAUGGCCGUCGUCAGUUCGUACUGUGAAGCAUCCUGUUAAGUCAGGCAACGAACGAGACCCACGCCCACAGUUGCCAGCGUACUCUCCGGAGUGAUGGGUACACUGUGGGGACCGCCGCUGCUAAAGCGGAGGAAGGAAUGGGCAACGGUAGGUCAGUAUGCCCCGAAUAUCCCGGGCUACACGCGAGCUACAAUGGUUGGUACAAUGGGUAUCUACCCCGAGAGGGGAUGGCAAUCUCCUAAAACCAAUCUUAGUUCGGAUUGAGGGCUGCAACUCGCCCUCAUGAAGCUGGAAUCCGUAGUAAUCGCGUUUCAACAGAACGCGGUGAAUACGUCCCUGCUCCUUGCACACACCGCCCGUCAAACCACCCGAGUAGGGUCUGAAUGAGAGCGCUUACCAAUCGGAGGCGUUCGAAUUUGGGCUUUGCAAGGGGGGUUAAGUCGUAACAAGGUAACCAAGGGCGAAU
rnacentral:rRNA from 1 species